GAGGCAGAACAGUCUUCAAGGCUGGCCCACGAGAGCAGCCGCUUGACCUUCACCGAUGCUCCGUCACACACGUCACAGCUGGGAUUCGGACAAAGCACUUGCCGGAAGUAGGAGGGGUCGUAGAGUUGUCCACGGGGGCUGAAGAACAGGCAGAGUUCAGAUCUGUCGUCAGGACCUGUGUUCCAGUUAGCUUUGCCUGUCAACCUGACAUAACCUAGCUACACCUGAGAGGAGAGCCUCCGUGGAGGGAUUGCCUAGAAAAAGACGGGCCUGCAGUCGAGUCUAUGGAAGGUUGUCUUGGCUGUUUGAAGGCCUAGGCCAUCCCUAGAUAGAUGGUGCUGCUGUGGACCAGGAAACUAGCUGACUGCCUCCGCUCAGGCUAGCAAGCAGUACUCCCCAGAAUUCUUGGCUACAAAACAGGUUGCUCACAUCUUUGGUUAGAGGCAACGAUGUGUAGAGUAGCCAUCAGGCCUGCCUUUGAAUUCCUGCCUUGUCUUCCCUCAACAACUGACCAUGGUCUGGAUUUGUUGGCUGAAGUUAAACCUUUUCUCCUUAAAGUCACUUAUGGUUGUGGGGUUCCACCACACAGAGAGGUUCAAAACUAGGACAACCAGCAUGCAAAAGAGAGGGCCUACGGGCCCAUCUGGGGUGUGGAUACCCAAAGCCUGUGUGCCUAUUCCUUUUGCUCUGUCGUCCUUGGCCACCAGGGAGGCUGAAGCCUCUCUGCAUACCCCCAGUUUAUACCCUCACUCCUUUGCUCCUUUGGCUGUCCCUCCUGUGACAAGAGUAGGCUAUGCUAAGUCCUUGAGGCUGGGGGGGAGGACUGGCCGUAGGGGAAGGAGAAAGAGUCACCUUUGCACAACAGACUGCAGCUUCCUCCACUCCCGCGCUUCUCCGUGGAAACACCUGAGCUACCGCAGUCUGAAAUCGAGAAACAGGAGACGUGGCGACGUCAUCAGCAACUGGGCCAGCAACGCCCGCCAGCAACGCCCGCUCACCUGUGGUCCAUCCUGAGCUUCACCUUGCUAUGGAUAGCCCAGAAGCUCACGAGCUUGGCUUCCUCAGAGGUGCCUGAGCAUCCAGGCGUGAAGUAUGUGAUGCAAAGAGGCAGGAGCUGUGGCUCCAACACAAGCCUAGUCCUCCCUAGAUACCUGCCUCGCUCACCGCCCGGGCAGCGCCUCCUGCCCAGGUCAGGCAUCAGUACUUCACGCCUACGGUGAGCUGAAGAGGGACUCGGGGCUGCUCCUCAGUCUUCUCUGAGGGUUCUAUUGUCAGGGAAGGGUUUGUGCCUGAUGAUGGGAUAGCCUCGGAUCAUGGACCUGGACGCUCAGGGAAAUGACAGGAAGAAAGAAAGUGGGGUGAUAAGACCCCUGAGCCAGAGCCUACCGUUAAACGACGUUCUCUUUUCCUUCUUAGCUCUGCCCUGUUGCUGCGAACAAAAAGAAAAAAUGAUUUUUUUCCUGUUGUUUUCCCUAGGACAACACUCCCCCCAACUCCCCCACCCCAGCUCCCAUUAACCAAGAACGCUGUAAUUUCUGAUCAAACGUGUUUAAUCCCUAUCUUUAUUAUUUACUUUCAAAGGUAAUAGAAUAUUUUCAGUUUUUCCUUCUUUGAGAAACCAAAGGAGGAUUUUUAUCUGCAAGCUUGUUUCGAGGUUGGGAACGACUACAAUACGACUCCCUGUACUGAACAGCAUGGACUCUGGGGCCAGCGCUGUGCUAGUGCUCCCCCUGACACGCUUUGUCCGGGGACAAAGCUCAGGCUCCAGGUUCUGGUCAGAGGCUCCAGUGGUCAGCGCCUCUCCUGCAGCCAGAGAGUUGGAAGGCCAAGUGAAGGGAGCAGAAGGAACAUAUGAGUCAGGACUGGAUCCUGGAACCCAGUGUCAGCAGACAUAGUUCUCCUUCAGAAAGCCUGACACCUGGAACCAAGCCCACGAGACCAGGGAUGGGUACUUAGCACCAGACAUGGACACCCAGGGAGGGAGGCUAUAGGUCCAGAUGAAACUAAUUCCUUCCAUCCCAGGCUUCAUGCUGUAAGUGCACAGUCCUCCCUCCUCUCACAGAAUUCUAGCUCAGGUACUGUGCUCAGACAACCAAGCUCACUCGGUGGUGAUGUGAACGGAGAAACCGCAACUACCAAUGAAGAAGAGUGGCCCCAGGAAGUCCCCACGCCACCUUACCUUUCUGAUUCCUUGACUGGUCUGUUUGGGUAAGUAGAAUUUCUGUAUCCGGUACCUUAGGUACAAAAACAGCAGCCCUAGUGCACCCAGAAAGAUGCACUUGGGGUAAAAGUUCAUGAAGACGGACCCAAAGCUCAACCAUGAUUCCGUAGCACUAGUCAGAAUGGUGCUAUUGAAAAUGGAGAGAAUCUUCUUCAUAGUGUGAAUCUCAGGGGCUGCCUAAGGCAGCUGAGAUCUGAGGCUGUGUGGGCCUCGCUGUAAGUGGGCAGGUCUGCAUCACAGAGCUGUGGGGAGAGUCAUAGAGUGAUUGUGAGGGCGGAGGGAGGAGGGUGAGCCCUCAGUCCCCGCCCCCAUCCCAUCCUACCCCACUUCACCCCUACCAGGCCCCUCCAUCCCCCCACCCUGCUUUCCUCAUUUCUACAGGGAACUUACCUGUUUGCCCCCUCUGUGUCUGGGGCCUCACCUCAGUCCUCUUCAGCUCUUGAACUGAACCUACGUCAUUCUCCUGCCUAAAAACUCUGACCUGGGAUCUUCCUUGAAAUGUUUGCUGUCGUUUACUUGGCCUCGACAGGAAUGCUGUCUUCCAACAUAUCUUCAGGACCGUUUUCCCCUCUCACCAAAUUAGCUACAAGAUGGACUUUCUUUGUGAAUGCCCAAUGACCGACUUUUGUGUUUGAGUCAUCUUGCAGUAUCUUCAAUCAGAGGGACAGACUAAAAUCGCCAAGCUGUCAUAAAUUCAGGAUAUAUACAGUUAGAAUUUCAAGCGUUCUUUUGCGUGUGAUUAUACCAUUUGAUUUUGGUGGCGACGCAGUUGAAAAGCCAGAAUCUCUCCUCCCCUGCCUUUGAUGAAGUUGCUGCCACAUGAGGUGUGCCCAUCUGCAGGAAGUGGAGGAAGGACCCCAGCCAGUUAACCAGCAAGCACAUGAUUGACAGCCUCGGACCAAAAGCCUUGAGGAGCGAACCUGGCCAGAGUUCCAUGAGAGAAUCUGGAAAGGGGUUGUUCCCCAAUCAAGCCUUCCAAUUUCAGCCUUGCCAAAGAACCCCCAAGGCAGAGAAUGCAGGGUUCACAGAGCCUGAGACAAGGGACCAAUAAAGUUAAGGUGCCCAUAACACCAGUAGGUGAUUGUUAA